rnacentral:tRNA from 1 species
GCGGCAGUGGUGUAAUGGUAGCCACGCCAGCCUUAGGAGCUGGUACCGUAAGGUGUGGGGGUUCGAGUCCCCCUUGCCGCA